ACUGAACGCUGGCGGCAUGCCUUACACAUGCAAGUCGAACGGUAACGGGUCCUUCGGGAUGCCGACGAGUGGCGAACGGGUGAGUAAUAUAUCGGAACGUGCCCAGUAGUGGGGGAUAACUGCUCGAAAGAGCAGCUAAUACCGCAUACGACCUGAGGGUGAAAGGGGGGGAUCGCAAGACCUUUUGCUAUUGGAGCGGCCGAUAUCAGAUUAGCUAGUGGGGGGGGUAAAGGCCUACCAAGGCAACGAUCUGUAGUUGGUCUGAGAGGACGACCAGCCACACUGGGACUGAGACACGGCCCAGACUCCUACGGGAGGCAGGAGUGGGGAAUUGUGGACAAUGGGCGCAAGCCUGAUCCAGCAAUGCCGCGUGCAGGAAGAAGGCCUCGGGUUGUAAACUGCUUUUGUCAGGGAAGAAAUCUUCUGGGCUAAUACCCCGGGAGGAUGACGGUACCUGAAGAAUAAGCACCGGCUAACUACGUGCCAGCAGCCGCCGUAA
rnacentral:rRNA from 1 species